GACGAACGCUGGCGGCGUGCCUAAUACAUGCCAGUUGAGCGAUGAAGCUUGGUGCUUGCCCCAAUUUGAAGAGCAGCGAACGGGUGAGUAACGCGUGGGGAAUCUGCCUUUGAGCGGGGGACAACAUUUGGAAACGAAUGCUAAUACCGCAUAACAACUUUAAACAUAAGUUUUAAGUUUGAAAGAUGCAAUUGCAUCACUCAAAGAUGAUCCCGCGUUGUAUUAGCUAGUUGGUGAGGUAAAGGCUCACCAAGGCGAUGAUACAUAGCCGACCUGAGAGGGUGAUCGGCCACAUUGGGACUGAGACACGGCCCAAACUCCUACGGGAGGUAGCAGUAGGGAAUCUUCGGCAAUGGACGAAAGUCUGACCGAGCAACGCCGCGUGAGUGAAGAAGGUUUUCGGAUCGUAAAACUCUGUUGGUAGAGAAGAACGUUGGUGAGAGUGGAAAGCUCAUCAAGUGACGGUAACUACCCAGAAAGGGACGGCUAACUACGUG
rnacentral:rRNA from 1 species